rnacentral:rRNA from 1 species
GACGAACGCUGGCGGCGUGCUUAACACAUGCAAGUCGAACGAAGAGCGAUGGAAGCUUGCUUCUAUCAAUCUUAGUGGCGAACGGGUGAGUAACGCGUAAUCAACCUGCCCUUCAGAGGGGGACAACAGUUGGAAACGACUGCUAAUACCGCAUACGAUCUAAUCUCGGCAUCGAGGAUAGAUGAAAGGUGGCCUCUACAUGUAAGCUAUCACUGAAGGAGGGGAUUGCGUCUGAUUAGCUAGUUGGAGGGGUAACGGCCCACCAAGGCGAUGAUCAGUAGCCGGUCUGAGAGGAUGAACGGCCACAUUGGGACUGAGACACGGCCCAGACUCCUACGGGGGGCAGCAGUGGGGAAUCUUCCGCAAUGGACGAAAGUCUGACGGAGCAACGCCGUGUGAGUGAUGACGGCCUUCGGGUUGUAAAGCUCUGUUAAUCGGGACGAAAGGCCUUCUUGCGAAUAGUGAGAAGGAUUGACGGUACCGGAAUAGAAAGCCACGGCUAACUACGUG